GCACAGCUCUUUCCAAUGCACUGCUAAUUAAGGCAGCUCUAAGAGUGAGGGUUUUGGGACCUGUAGGUUUUCUCUGGGUUGCAAGCAGAGGGGUUGCUUCAGUCCUUGUGAGAGGCAUUUAGUGCUGUCAAGUGGCAGUGAACCAGGGCUUUGAGAAAGAAGAAACAGAAGAUGAUGGCAAAUUAACAAAGCAGGGGAGCAGCAUUUCUAGACCAAAGAAGGCUGAACUAGGUUUGAAAGGGCACUGAUGAGAAUCCAUAGGAAGGCGGUAAAUAAAACUGCUACUGAAGAGAAUAAAACUAAUGUCAGACAUUGGCAUACAUGCCACUGCUUUUCAAGUCUCUCUGAAUAAAAACACUUUUGAGUU